CCGGAAAUAAAAAUAUUCAAGAUGUCAGGACCACCACAGCCCAACUCAAUUCAAAAGCCUAUACAGCAGGAUUGGGCGAAUAGAGAAUAUGUUGAAGUCAUCACAUGCAGCAUAAAGAAAAUAUCUGACUUCUUGAAUUCUUUUGACACAUCAUGUCGAUCUCGUCUUGCAACUUUAAACGAAAAGCUGACACAACUAGAAAGAAGAGUGGAGUAUAUUGAAGCAAGAAUUGUUAAAGGACAGACAUUAGAUUGAAACGGAUUGUGGGAGAUGUAGUAAUUGUAAAUAUGAAAAGUGCUGGGUCGUGUUGGGAUAGUGCUGAUGAUGGAAAAGACAUUGGUGCGCUUAUAGUGAGGGUUGAAUCAAAUUCACGCGUGGAUGAAUGGUUUAUUCCUACCUUCAACUUUCUUACUGCUGGACAGCUUUGAUGUUAUUUUUCAUGUCGCUGAAUUUUUUAUAUGGACAGAAUAAAAUUUAGGCUUUUAUAACAUGAUUGCAAGGAAAUCUUUUCUAAAUGUCAUCAGAAAUAUCCACUUAUUUAUUUUCGUAUAAGCUUUAAAUUCUAUUCGAUUUUCUCUAGAUGUAUACAUUUUAUUUGAGACACAAAUGAAUUCAUUUUGAAUUAACUUUUUUAACAUGUCCGUUGUUUUAUUAAUGAUUGUUUUUACACGUUCUUAAAUUUUUUUUGAUGUAUUGUCAAAGAGCUGGUAUUCAGUAUGGGUCUGAAUUGGAUCUUAGAACGAUGUAGUGAUCGGAUUUUCGUGUUACUAUAAUAACCGACCAAUUGUGUAAUAAGGUCAAUGUUGUAUGACCAGCCCAAUUUUUCAAAUCUUCUUAAGCUUAAAAGGGUAAAGUAGCUUUUUUUCAUUUAGUCAAAAAUAGAUAUACAAAUUGGAUUUCGAUUAAAAAAAUAUUAUGAUAAUUCCUAUAUAAAAUUUAAAAUAUAAAACUCUUAAAGAAGUAAAUAUUAUGCAAAUUAUUCAGUGUCAAAAAUAGUGAGUGUAGCUUAGUCCUGAAUAUUAACCUAAGUUGAAUAUUAAAUACCACCCAAGAUUUCAUUUGCCAUAUAUAUCUCAAAAACAUUCAAGAUAUUUGCAUGAAACUUGGUACACAUUUAAUUAAAGGUGCCAGUAAGUUUAAUCAAGUCUUGUAAGCCCAAGUUCUGAAAUAAAAGUGAAGUUAUGAACAAAUGAUCAAGGCAGCCUAGGCCAACAAGGAAAAAUGGUUAAGUGCUUAAAUCUUAUAACGUCUGUUCAGUAAAAAAAUAAUAUUUUGAAGGUAAAAUUCUAAUGACCAAAGAUUCGAGAAAUGUAUACAAGUACUAAUGUUUCAUUUGGCAUGUCAUUCUGUAGAAUUUACAUGUAUCAUAAUGCCAGUUUUCGCUUGAUCGCAUUAUCUCCACUCUCAAAUUGUUUAUUUGUUUGGUCUGUGUUUUAGCUGUUCUUUUUUUAAAAGAAACAAUGUCUCGAUAUUGUUAUAUAACUGUGAUGUCGUUAAGCAUUGUGCAAAAACUAACCUUGAGUUGUGGUGUUUUCAGUAUUAUGCAAAAACUUCCAUUGGCCAUUAACUUGAAAUUGUUCAAGAUAUUCAUAUGAAACUUGGUACACAUGUUGCCAGGGACGAUACGUGCAUGUUUAACUGUUUUAAUGAUUGUAGAGUUAUGCCCGUUUUUCUACAACAAAACAACAGACAUUGGUUGAUGAUUGCUCCGUGGCGCUCUUGUUUAUCCUGAGAUUGAUGCAUCAUUUUAUCAUAAAUCUUUCACAUUCUGGAAAAAGAUAAAAUUAUUUAAACUCAACACUAAAAUUAUAGCAAAAUUAUAUCAUGAGUCAAUAUUUUCUCAGAUUAUUUUUUGAAACAAUCAAAUUGUUUAUUGGAGAAAUACAGUCAGAAGAGCACUAGUACUAUUGCAUUCGUAACCGUUAAUUGCUUUCAGAAAAUAAUAUCAAUCAAUAUUAAAUAAAAAUAAUUUUAAAUAAGUUCGUUAACUAUGAUAUGAAAAAUGGUUACAGUUGCUACUAGUUGGAAUAGUUUGGCUCCUAAGAGAGAUCUCCUUUGAUCUCGGAAGCAUUUCUCCCUUUUAAAAACCAUACUGAAAUUGAACUGAUGUGUCGCCAGUGAAUUGAUUGAAUGCCCACCUCUUUUGCUUUUCAUAAUUUUUAAAUGAAUUCACUUGUUAAGCACACUAUUUUAGAUAUAUCAUUAUGGAUUUCUUAAGACUUUUAAAACCAUGAUUGUCAUUAAAUUACCAACAAAACAGAUAUUAAGUUAAAUGUCACAGUUAAAGAUCAUUGAAAAUGCUUUUAUGAUAAACAUGUUCUGUUUAUUUUCCAUUUCAUUUAUUACUUUUAUUUCUAUGUGAUAAACAUGAAUGACUUCAUGUAUAGUAUUUGUUUGGUUUCUAUGUAGGCUAAAUCAUAAACAAUGAAGUAUUAAACAUACUUUGGUAUAAACAUACUGACUUGAAAUAUCUCCAACAUAAUAAUAUGGAUCUGUAAUUUAUGAGACCUAAAACCUAUUGAUCUGUAUUGAUUAUAAUUUAAAUCAGUAUUUCCACUGUGAAAUAUACAUGUAUUUGCAUGUUUAACCUUGAUUUUGCUAAACUUGUGUUUUGUAUUUUAUUGCUAAUUUUCUUCUAUUAUAAUAAUUCUAUUUUUGUAUAAGGGGAUAUAUAUAUAUAUAUCUGACAUAAAUUUUGGUAAUUUUCACAAUUGUUUUAUUGUAUCAAAUCUCCAGUGGAAAGUUUUGCUUAAAUGCAUGAAUGCAAAAAAACAUCAUAGCUUCACUCAGAUUCCAUAUAAAUGGACCAAUAUUAAGUGUGUCUACAGCAAAUGGUGGGGGAUGUAAGCUUAUUUAUACUUGCACUUGGACAAGGCCCAAUUUCCGAGAGAUCCCAUAAGAUUGUUAGUCAUUUUAGGUUUUUGGAGCAAAGUGCACAGACAUAAUAUAACCCUGGUUAGAGCUAUUAAGGUUGUUCAACGUGCACCAGUGUAUACAACUGUCACACGGGACCCCCAUACAACGUCCCUUCCGGAAGACGUAACGUACUUGUAUCGCGGUGGAGAGGGGAAUCGAACCUCCGAAUCCUGGAUUGACAGUCAAGUGUGUCACCACUAGACCACGGUUCGCCAUAUAUAACAUGCAACAUUCAGAAAUGGGUUUUAGGCCUAUAAAGUAUGGUUUUAGUUAAAGAGUAGUGAAAGGAUGCUACACCCUGUCCGUUUAUGGUGACACCCAUCUGCCCUAAUGGAGACAGCAUGUAUAUCCUUUUGCCAAAGACUGCUGACAAAAGAUAAGACCACAAUAUUUCAUAUCUACUUUCGAAAACUGAUGCCGAUAAACAUAUUUGUCUUAAAACCCUAGUAACGCUUUUAGCCAUAAACAUCAAUUUUCGACCUUAAAUAUGAAAACCUGCGUUAUGAGUUUUUGUCAGCAGUCUUAUAUCACUGGUUUCCAGACAUUCACGAAUAAAAAUGGGCUCAUUCCAAGACAAAAUAUAAAAACAACUUGUCAAAAUGGUCAAUCUGUGAGAGUGCAGCUUUAAAUAUACAUGUAGGUUUAAGUCUGAUAAAAUUUCAACGGAGUAAU